rnacentral:tRNA from 1 species
GCAGGUACAGCUCAGUGGUAGAGUUCAUGCUUAGCAUGCAUACAUAAGCUCCUAGGUUCAAUCCCCAGUACCUCCA